ACUGAAAGAAGAGUCACUGCAGAUCAGGGCUUUGUCCAGCUGAGCUUUGAGUUUCCCUAGAGCUCAUCAACACCUUCUUUUCCAGUUUCCAGCCCCCACAGUGAAGAAAUAUUCCUCACGUCUGAACUGAAAAUCCUGUGCUCCAACUUUUGACUGUUUCUCAUCAUAUCAAUACACACCUCUUGAGGAUAACCCAAAGCCUUCUCUGCAGGCUGAACAGGCCUCAGCCCCUUCAGACACCUUGUGGUCCAGCAACCUGGCCAGCGUGGUGUCUUCUGCAGGACUCAAACCCAUUUGCCAAUACCUUUCAAGUGCUGGAGUAAUCCAAAGUGCACGUGUGGAUGCAGUCUGAGAUGCAGUCUCACGUGUGACAAAUCAGUGGGGAAAAUUGUUUCCCAUAACCUUUCCCUGCACUGCUGAGGUGAAUGCCUGCUCCUCCAGGUGUCACUGGUGAGAAUCCUGUGCAUUUCCUCCAAGUGCUUCAGGUUGCCAUAGUUUCUGCUUUGAGUUUUCAGUGUCUCUUUUUCAGCCAAUUUUCCUGCCACUAUUUUUUUUUUUUACCCCAGCAUGUCUUUACAACUUCCAGUUAUGUGAUUUUUGAGACCAGCUGGAACAUAAAAGCUCAGAGCUGAAGAAUAAAUAAAAUGGUUGCUUUCAGAACUUAGCAGACUAAAUUCUCUUCUCUGCUAGCUAUCUGUUGAAGUCAGGGUCAUUACAUCUACUUAAACCAGCUGAGAAUUUGAUCAAGUAUUUGACCACAGCUUCAGAUCACACCAGGUGAGGGACCAGGGUUCCUGGGGAAAUCUGUAGUAUUCCAAUUAUGCCGAGUAUUAAAUUUAGACACACACUUACUUUUUAACAGCAUUGACCAAAUUGCGUUUUCCAAACUGUAACAAUCUCUCCUCCCUGCUGAAGCCUGGCUCCUCACAUUAGUCUCCACGGUAUUUUUUGCCAAAGAACAGGCAAAAAAGGUCACAGAAUAAACCUUUAUUUGUAACCAUUGUAUUUGAAGGGCUUUGGUACCAAAAUAGAAUGACAUUGCAUAUUUUUGUAGGGUUUAUGAAGAAUAUAGUAUGUCCAUAAAGCUUCCUUUCAGCCUUCCUGGAUGAUAUAAGGAGCCACUUCUUAAUGCUGAGCUGGGCUUCAGGGUAAACUUUUUCCUUUCAGCAUCUCCUCUGAGUACAAUGGGCAUGAAAACAGAUUUACCCUCCAGAAGCGUGUACAACUUUUUCCUCCUGAGAUUAAGCAUAAAACACUGCUUUAAGGUUUCACUAACAGUAAGGCAGAGUAAGUAGUGAUAAUCAAAGGAGAGGGGUUAGGGCUCUGAAAGCUUAUACAGUUAUUGGUGUACUUUGUCAUAUGAAAAUCAUAAUGGAUGUAAUUCUGGUUUCAUGAAUGCCAAUGGGAGAUUUGUCACAGGUUUGAGUGAUGUCAUGAACUCAUACCAUUUCUCAGGCUGACAGUAGAUUUUCUAUAUCCUAUUUGGUAUUCUUGGUGUGAACUUAAAGAUCUUACAAUUAACUUCAUUUUAGUUUAGAAGAUGUAUUUUUUCCUCUCUUUUUACUGUCUUCUGCUGCAUCUUGGUAGAUUUCCUAAAUAUACUGCAAAAUCAUUAUGUGCAGGAAAUAUUUUUGUUUGAAGUGUAUUACUAACAUUUUUUCAUGUGAAUACAUACACACAUGCAUAUACACUCACGUGUGUAUAAGAAUCUUUUAUCAAACAUUAAAAUUAUAUUGUGGGUAUUAAAAAGAAUUCUGUUUUCUCUACUCACCAUGAAGCCUAUUUUCUCCUCAUAACUACAGCAAACUCUAUUGACCUCUGGAGACUCGCACUUACAUUGCAUAUUGCCUGUUAAAACAAUUGGAAAAGCAACUACCCACUUAAGCAGACGCUGCACUGAUUUGUCUGAGAUUUUGUUCCUAAAUCCUUAAAUGAAUUUUGAGAUCAAAUGGUGACAAGCCAAGUAAUAUAUUUCUUACUGCCAGAUUAAACUAGAAAAAAUUAUAUCCCCUCCUCUUUCUCUAAAUAGUCCUUUU
rnacentral:lncRNA from 1 species